UCCGAGUUGACCCCGGCAGUCUCCUAUGAGUCCCCGCCAUCACGCGCUGGCAACAUGCGACGAGGGUUGCGCUCGUUGCGGGACUUAACCCAACAUCUCGCGACACGAGCUGACGACGGCCAUGCACCACCUGUGAUCGUGCCCCGAAGGGAGGGUGUGUUUCCACACCUGUCACGAACAUGUCAAACCCAGGUAAGGUUCUUCGCGUUGCGUCGAAUUAAUCCGCAUGCUCCGCCGCUUGUGCGGGCCCCCGUCAAUUCCUUUGAGUUUUAGCCUUGCGGCCGUACUCCCCAGGCGGGGCACUUAAUGCGUUAGCUACGGCACGGAUCCCGUGGAAGGAAACCCACACCUAGCGCCCACCGUUUACGGCGUGGACUAC
rnacentral:misc_RNA from 1 species